rnacentral:rRNA from 1 species
UACGGGGGUAGCAAGCGUUGUUCGGAUUUACUGCGCGUAAAGGGCGCGUAGGCGGUCAGCACAAGUCAGUUGUGAAAUCUCCGGGCUUAACUCGGAAAGGUCAACUGAUACUGUGCGACUAGAGUGCAGAAGGGGCAACUGGAAUUCUCGGUGUAGCGGUGAAAUGCGUAGAUAUCGAGAGGAACACCUGCGGCGAAGGCGGGUUGCUGGGCUGACACUGACGCUGAUGCGCGAAAGCCAGGGGAGCGAACGGG